GCGCCCGUAGUUCAAUUGGAUAGAGCAUCUGACUUCGGAUCAGAUUGUUGUGGGUUCGAGUCCUACCGGGCGUGCCA
rnacentral:tRNA from 1 species